rnacentral:rRNA from 1 species
CGUGCAGCCGGGUCUGCAAGUCAGAUGUGAAAUCCAUGGGCUCAACCCAUGAACUGCAUUUGAAACUGUAGAUCUUGAGUGUUGGAGGGGCAAUCGGAAUUCCUAGUGUAGCGGUGAAAUGCGUAGAUAUUAGGAGGAACACCAGUGGCGAAGGCGGAUUGCUGGACGAUAACUGACGGUGAGGCGCGAAGUGUGGGAGCAAACA